rnacentral:rRNA from 1 species
CUGGCUCAGGAUGAACGCUAGCGGCAGGCUUAACACAUGCAAGUCGAGGGGCAUCGGGAGUAGCAAUACUUGCCGGCGACCGGCGCAAGGGUGCGUAACGCGUGAGCAACAUGCCCGUAUCAGGGGGGAUAAUCCAUGGAAACGUGGUCUAAUACCCCAUAGUAAUUAUGUAAGGCAUCUUAUAUAAUUUAAAGCUUUGGUGGAUACGGAUUGGCUCGCGUGACAUUAGCUGGAUGGUAAGGUAACGGCUUACCAUGGCUACGAUGUCUAGGGGUUCUGAGAGGAAGGUCCCCCCACACUGGAACUGAGACACGGUCCAGACUCCUACGGGAGGCAGCAGUGAGGAAUAUUGGACAAUGGAUGGAAAUCUGAUCCAGCCAUGCCGCGUGCAGGAAAGACGGCCCUAUGGGUUGUAAACUGCUUCUGUAUGGGAGCAAUAAGGGCUACGUGUAGUCCGAUGAGAGUACCAUACGAAUAAGCACCGGCUAACUCCGUGCCAGCCGCCGC